rnacentral:rRNA from 1 species
AGAGUUUGAUCCUGGCUCAGAACGAACGCUGGCGGCGUGCCUAACACAUGCAAGUCGAGCGAGAAAGGGGCUUCGGCCCUGAGUACAGCGGCGCACGGGUGAGUAACGCGUGGGUAAUCUACCCUCGAGCGAGGAAUAACACUCCGAAAGGAGUGCUAAUACCUCAUAAGACCACGGCUCCUUCGGGAGCUGCGGUAAAAGGUGGCCUCUGCAUGCAAGCUAUCACUCGAGGAUGAGCCCGCGUCCCAUUAGCUAGUUGGUAGGGUAACGGCCUACCAAGGCUUUGAUGGGUAGCUGGUCUGAGAGGAUGACCAGCCACACUGGGACUGAAACACGGCCCAGACUCCUACGGGAGGCAGCAGUGGGGAAUCUUGCGCAAUGGGCGAAAGCCUGACGCAGCAACGCCGCGUGAAGGAUGAAGGCCUUCGGGUCGUAAACUUCUGUCGGGCGGAACGAACCUCCCCGGGGUGAACAAUCCCGGGGACUGACGGUACCGCCAAAGGAAGCACCGGCCAACUCUGUGCCAGCAGCCGCGGUAAUACAGAGGGUGCGAGCGUUGUUCGGAAUUACUGGGCGUAAAGCGCGUGUAGGCGGCCAGGCAAGUCGGAUGUGAAAGCCCUGGGCUUAACCCAGGAAGUGCAUUCGAAACUGCCAGGCUCGAGUACGGGAGAGGGAGGUGGAAUUCCCAGUGUAGAGGUGAAAUUCGUAGAUAUUGGGAGGAACACCGGUGGCGAAAGCGACCUCCUGGACCGAUACUGACGCUGAGACGCGAAAGCGUGGGGAGCAAACAGGAUUAGAUA